rnacentral:sRNA from 1 species
UAAAACAAGGAUUAAGACAAAAAAAAUCUGCUGCAAGCUAGCUUGUAAGCAGAUUUUUUUUGUCUUAAUCCGCAAACGCAUGAGCAACGAGCGAAGCGAGUUGCGAAUGUGUUUGUAGGACGGAGUCCAUGUUUUA